GUUUCUUGCGAAGGGGAAUGAAGAGGGCGAAAAAGAAAAAUAUAAUUAUGUUCGAUAAACUAUAUUUUAAUGAUUUCAUUUUUAAUACUAUUUUAAUCAUGCAUGCGUAAAACGUGCUCUCGACACCAUUUUGUGCGAAGCUUGCAAAAUGCUUUAAUUAAAUACUAAAGACUCGGUAACAUCAGCAAAAGCUUGUAAAUAAUAUAAUUGAAUGACUGUUUUACCCAAAGAUGUUUUGCUUUUAAAGCUUGUGCAUAUUAAAGCUCGUGUCAUUCGCAACAAUCCCCUCUGGCAUGCAAGAAGACUUUAAAAAGUGGAGCGAGCAGCAAAGCAAAUGGAAGUGGAAGUGGAAGUGAAAGAAAUGGAAAGAAAACUUUAAAUUUGCAGACUCGGGCUCGUCUCUCAGACGGACGCACACAGAAAACUGACAGAAGGUAAUCACUGACAAAUGCUGCCCCGCUGCUGUCAAUCAAAAACACACUAAAAUACACACACAAAGGUCAGUCAGGCUGCUUGCUGCAUACCCAAUCUCUCAAGCAGCUUGGCGGCAGGCUGUUGCCGACGCCGACGCCGCCGCCGACGCCGCUGAGCUGCCUUAAUUUGCGGAAUUCAAGAAAUUCGCUUUCAUUUGAGAUUAUGUGCGUAUUAUAAUCCACUGGCCAUGCGACUCAAGGAUAUGCUCACAGAAGUCAGAGUACAGACUCUCAUUCUUUUAUUCUCCCCCCCAGCUCAGUAUCAAGCCAAAAUCAAUACUUAAAUACGCCUCAGGAGCAGCGAACGUAUGUGAUUAACUUUUGUGCAGUCAGUUAGGCACAAAAUUAAGAUAACAGCCCAUUAAAUUUAUGCAUGAACAAAAGACAUUUUAAUAUUGUGCAGACACGUACUCGUCGUCUUCGUCGUCGUCGUCGGCUGUCGUUAUUUUGGAUAACUAAGUUUUGUGCCUUUUCUUUUCUCUCUACUCUAAUGAUUGCUCAAAGUUCUAAUUUGACUUUAAUAAGCAAUUGCGUGCCCGUCGAUGUGUGAGGCACAAAACUGAGAGUCUCAAGCAGAGAUAAAAUAAGCAAUAAGCUGAGAUACUCAACGUUCAUCCUGGCAUUGAGCCUGAGCUUAUGCUGCGCUGUAAAGUAUGCUACACUUUUUCACAGGUGGUUGUUACUCGCACUUGAAUCGAAACCAAAAUUCUAACUGGCGCUGCAUAACACAUAUUUCAUACGCCAUGCAACUGAAAGCCAUUAUGUGGCAAUUGUAUUAUUCAAAUUCGCUUUACGAGAACUUAAUACAUCAUUCAACGCGUUGCUCAAAUACCGCAUCAAAGCAACAAAAGUGCCGCUAGCGAACCAUGAACAACCUCUCACAACGAACCUCAAUCCGACCUCUUCUUGUCAACUAGCUAGUUCAACUUAAAGGUAACUUAUAAAGAAACUUUCGAACUUUGCAGUGCUUCUUCUUCUUCUUCUUCUUAUGUAGCACUUUCAUCGGCAAUUUCGCAAUGCAAUGUCGCAACCUCAGUUUCAGUGCUUGACGACAACGACGACGCCUGGCUGCCUGCGGGUGAGUAGUUAG